GGGCGCGCUUGUGGGCGGGGCAUGCAAAUUGCUUGGCUGUUUGUCUGGGGGAGGCAUGGGAGAAUAGAAAGCCUAAAAGCCCCCAAUAAGUUAAAGGAUAUGACAAACUAGGUAUGUGUUACAAGUUGUGGCAAUAGGGCACUGUGAAGUCUAGGCAAGAGGGCGGGCAUUCGUUUGAGGAUGAGUUUCCUCACCGUGAGCUGAAAGGCGUGGGAGAAGAGGGGUGUGCUGGCGAAGGGGCUGACCUCGGUAUCGCUUCUCGGCCUUUUGGCUAAGAUCAAGUGUAGUAUCUGUUCUUAUCAGUUUAAUAUCUGAUACGUCCUCUAUCCGAGGACAAUAUAUUAAAUGGAUUUUUGGAGCAGGGAGUUGGAAUAGGAGCUUGCUCCGUCCACUCCGCGCAUCGACCUGGUAUUGCAGUACUUCCAGGAACGGUGCACCCCCUCUGGGGGCCGGAAUAAGGGUGCAAAAGAAGAAAAAUGUCUGUUUUUUGUAACUAUAUGUGUUUUGUUUUCUUUUUCGGAACUACAGGAUUACGAUGUGUCUUUCUCCUUCAGAACUACUGUACGUUUUAUUGUUUCACAAUUACAUACAUACUACUGCUUCAGCUGGCGUUGAUUGGUGAUGCAGUAGGCACUACUGCUGCGUUUGGACGGGCGUUUUCUUCGUUGAGAAAGUGCUACUGAUUUUCUACGUGCCGCGCUUGCACAGAAGUGGGAGGAGUGUUCGGCCGUGCCUGCACGCGCGGAAACUCCCCGCCCCUUCGCGUACCCGCCUCAUGGUGGCAGCUGCUGUGCUUCGUGGUCACUUGUUCGGCUCCGGCAGCUAAAGGACAAACGCUUCCGUGCUGGCGGAGGCUCUAGCCGCAUGCGGGUGGGGGGCCUCGUAAGGGGGGCGCUCGGCUCCCGUAACUCAUGCCCAGCGGCAUGCGUUCCUGUCCCGUCCACAAGGCAAGCAGGCGCCCUGGCGCGCUACUUUUUUUCUUGACAGGUAGCGAUUAGCCGGUAGCCCCACGCGCGCCCCUCGUUCGAGGUUACAGUCGCUCCCACCGAAACAGCCCACCUUCCUCGAAGCAGCGGCUGCCCCUACGUAGAGCUUCGUCCGUUAACCGCUCCGGGCAGUACUGCACGCACGCGCGCUGCCGACACAAUCCCGUGCGGCGGCGGCGCAGCGCAGAGGUCCGUGGACCCAAGCGGCGGACAGGACCGAGGUCGCAGACGGGUGAGGGAGGAAGUAGUGUCUUCCUGUUCCCCCACGCGCCCGCAGUGCCAGGGACGCGCGGAGGCAGUGGGCGUGUGAAACGACGUGGCACAGCUACGCAGGGCAGCCCUCGGAUGCCUGAGGUAGGACAGGGGCCAGUAAGCUACCUUGCGGACGGCAGAGCGGAGGCACUCUGAUGAGAAGGUACGUCUGCCCCCGCUGAGGAAGUGGACGGAGGUCCCUGCGGAGGAGCUGAGUCUUCUCCACAACGAAGAAAACAAAAGAAAACAACAGUACUGAACCCACACUGCCUGCGUCGAGGAAGAAAUAGACUGCUGCCAGGAAAGAGGAACGCGUCUCUCAGUCUACGUCGGGCGUAGGUCGACAGAGCCUACCGCACGCUGGCAACGGGAAGAGGAGAAGGUGCUCCUACAGCCUCCUUCUGCCUCUUCCCCACCCCGCUGCCUCGGGAAGCUCUAGGGCUCUUGGGCUUCAGUGGAGAAAACCAGUAUGCACUGCCUGGCUUGCCACCUCUGGUCAAGAUUGCAGGCUCCAGGAGCCAACCCGCGUUUUCCCCUCAAACGAAGCACGAAAACUAGAUCAGAGAACUUCCCCGGGCACCAGGCUCCCACAAGCGGGAAACCAAUUAAAAAACCUGCCUCUGCACCCAUGCUAAAAUUAAAAAUCACGACGUGGAAGCCGGUAUCUGCUUUUCACACAGUGGUUUCAGGGCGCCUGCCUGCCUUGCGGACGGGGCAGGAACGCAUGCCAAUAUGGGCAUGAGUUACGGGGGCCGAGCCCACGUUACGAGGCCCCCCACCCGCAUACGGCUGGAGCCUUCUCCAGCACGGAAGUGUUUGUCUCUUACCUGCCGGAGCCAAACAAGUGACCACGAAGCAGCAGCUGUCACCAUAACGAGGUACGCGAAGGGGCGGGGAAUUUCCGCGCGUGCAGGCACGGCCAAGGACUCCGCUCACUUCCCUGCAGGCGGGGCACGUAGAAAAGUCACUGGCACCUCUUCAAACGGGGAGAGCGCUAGCACCAACACAGCAGUAGUGCCUACUGCAACAUCAGCGGUCGGCGCCACCUGGAGGGAUAAAAAGCAGCUUCGUGAUCCCCCCCACAUACCUACUAAAAAUACACGUACUUCUCUCCCUUUGCACACCUUGCUGGUCCCCAAAGGGGGUGCACCGUUCCUGGAAGUACUGCAAUACCAGGUCGAUGCGCGGAGUGGACGGAGCAAGCUCCUAUUCCAACUCCCUGCUCCAAAAAUCCAUUUAAUAUAUUGUCCUCGGAUAGAGGACGUAUCAGAUAUUAAACUGAUAAGAACAGAUACUACACUUGAUCUUAGCCAAAAGGCCGAGAAGCGAUACCACCUUUCUGCCUCUGGCCGUUGCCGUCCUCCCUUCAUCCCUAUUCAAGCCACGGUGAGCGCCCUCAUCCUCACGCCUCGUCUGACUUCUUUUGCGUCGUCCACAGUGCUAUCACUAGAGACCUGUGCAGACUUUCUGUUCUCUACCUUUGUGAGGAGAAAUUCUGUGUACUUGAUUGUCCCGUCAUUCCCGCGCCGAACAGCCAUUUCUAAUCUGCAUGCUCCGCCUUCUGUCGCCCGAGGACGCGCGGCUACCGCGGGCGGACUCCACCCUCCCCCUCCGGACCGGCUCCUCGCGCCCGGAACCCAGGCCGGACCCGGAGCCCGCCUCCUGGCCUCCUGGCCGGUGCACGUCCUGCCGCAGACCCGAGACAGGGGCGGCAGCCGGAGAAUGCGAGGGGAGCGCUGACACGGUAGCAGCUGUCACGGUUCGAGCCCCAGAAAUCAAGAACUUGCUUUUGCCCACUGCUCUUCCCCCACGCACGCACUGCACAUUCAACAACCGUUCAAUGACUAAGAGCGCCUCCUCCACGCUUAGCCAGUGCCCGACACACGCCACGAUUACGGCGGCUCGUCAGCCGCCGCCGCCGCCGCCACCGCCACCACACCCACCUCGCCCCUCCUUGCUCGGGGCCGCUCUGCUCGCGUCGGUGUUCUCCCGCCCGUCUUCUGCCCGACGCGUGAUUCACUCCCGCGGAGUUUGCUCAAAUCGACGUGCACGGACUGAAGGGCCUGCGAAUCGCGCCCGGCCCCCGUGCACGGCGCUCUGCGGAGGCCGGUCGCGUGCCCUUGUGCCCUCACGGUGGUGCAGGGCCGUCGCGGUCCCAGCCAUCCUCACUGCAACGGAGCCUGGAAGUUCGGGAGAUCACGAACGGUGACCGGAAGAGCAGGGCAGGCGUUCCCCGGCAGCGCCUCUUUCCCCAGCCUUGCCAACAACCCCACGUGGCAUCAAACCUGCGAAUGCUUUUUUGGUGCGGGGUGGGGAAAGGGGGAGGGGUCGAUCUCAUAGGUGAAAAUGGUACCUCGGCGUAGUUUGGAUUUGCAGUUUUCUAAUCUUGGGUAAAUAAGGUUGAGCGUCCUCUCCUGUUUCAGAGACGCCUUUAUUUUCUCUCUGUGAGCUAACUCCUUGUUGGGGGUCUUCGGCCCUUUUCCUCCUGGAUUCUCGGAUGGGCUUUAUCCUAAGGGCGUGGAUCUGCAAUUUACACAUUCAGGGGACUGGCCCUUUGUCUGUAAUGGAAGCGGUGACCAUUUUCUCCUGUUGGAUAUCUGGCUUUGGCUUUACUUAAGGUGAUGAUUCCAUUGCUUCAAGGUUUCAUGGAAAGUUGUUUUUAUAUCAUCAUAUGUAUCAAUUAAAAACAUAUCUUUCAGAUUUUGAGUCGAAAGGACUUAUAAUUUCCUAAAUCUUCC